rnacentral:rRNA from 1 species
GACGAACGCUGGCGGCGUGCUUAACACAUGCAAGUCGAACGGAGUGGCGAACGGGUUAGUAACACGUGGGUUAUCUGCCUUGCAAUCUGGGAUAAGCUUGGGGAACUGGGUCUAAUACCGGAUAGUGCAAGAUGAGCUCGCGGCCUAUCAGCUUGUUGGUGGGGUAAUGGCCUACCAAGGCGUCGACGGGUAGCCGGCCUGAGAGGGUGUACGGCCACAUUGGGACUGAGAUACGGCACAGAGUCCUACGGGAGGCAGAAGUGGGGAAUAUUGCACAAUGGGCGGAGGCCUGAUGCAGCGAGGCCGCGUGGGGGAUGACGGCCUUCGGGUUGUAAACUCCUUUCGACAGGGACGCGGUACCUGGAUAAGAAGCACCGGCUAACUACGUGCCAGCAGCCGCGGUAAUUC